AUUACCUUCAAUCCACAAUCAAUCCAGAAACUUCUACAAGUACAAGUAGUAGAAGCUACAAGCUUCACCCAAAACUCAAUCCAGAAAAUUUUCAGCCUCUUCACAUACAGUAAAUCAAGAAGCUUCUCAUCAAUUUAUACCACCAAAAAUAUAGUAUAAUUUUGCUCAGGCUGGUGCUGCAAUUUUCAGAUAUCAGAUACCUAAAUAGAGUUGUAGUUGAGGUUCACACAACUCGGCCAGCUCAGGCUUGAUCAUUUGGAGGAAUUUCCUCCUGAUGCUAUCCAACCUCUUGAUAAUCUCUGCUGGAAUUGGGAACAGAGACAUCAUAUAUGUUGGUAGGGCAUCAAGGACUGAGUUGAUGAGUGUCACUCUACCCCUCAAGGACAAAUAUUGGCUCUUCCAUCUGGCUAAUUUCCUCUCAGGCCAUCCAUGAAUCAUCUGGAAAAUGCUAUGGCAGGCAUGUUGCGAAUUAUCUCUGGUAUUAUCUUGCUUUGGUGAUGGUGUGAGACAACCUGAGAAGCUUAUGCUUUUCACGUUUCAGUAUCCGAGAGCAAAACUGUCACCUGUGACAGUGGUAACGACCGAACUGUCAUCCCUAACAGUGGUAACAAAACUGUCUCUAGCAUCAACAUAAAGUUGCUUAUGUGGUCCUUGAAUUACGAAGCAAGCUUAAGACGUCUAAAUGUGUUGUAUUAGAUAAUUCAACUUAUACUCUUUAGUAAAGAAGCUGAGUUAGUUCCAUUGAUUCUGUUCUGAAAA